rnacentral:lncRNA from 1 species
UUUCCUUGAAAAGUGGGUUAUUUUUGUAAAAAUUUCCUAGAAUGAGACCCAAAGGCUAUCGGUUUCAUUCCUUAUGAGACCAAAAUUUUGUUUUUUUUACUUAUAAGACAAAAAAAAUCUGACAUGGAAAUAUUUGUUAAUAAAAAAAAGGAAAAAGAAAAAAAAGUCGGUGUUUUCUUAAUAAAAUUUUAACUCUAGGGACUAUCGCCAACAUAUAAGUAAGAUAUAGGGAUUAA